UGUGAAUGAAGGAUUAGUAGUCAUUUAUGCC
rnacentral:piRNA from 1 species